GAUGAACGCUAGCGAUAGGCUUAACACAUGCAAGUCGAGGGGCAGCAUGGUCUUAGCUUGCUAAGACUGAUGGCGACCGGCGCACGGGUGCGUAACGCGUAUGCAACUUGCCUCACAGAGGGGGAUAACCCGUCGAAAGACGGACUAAUACCGCGUACACUUGGGAUAGGGCAUCCUGACCCAAGGAAAUGAAAUUCGCUGUGAGAUAGGCAUGCGUCCCAUUAGCUAGUUGGUGAGGUAACGGCUCACCAAGGCGACGAUGGGUAGGGGAACUGAGAGGUUGAACCCCCACACUGGUACUGAGACACGGACCAGACUCCUACGGGAGGCAGCAGUGAGGAAUAUUGGUCAAUGGGCGGGAGCCUGAACCAGCCAAGUCGCGUGAAGGAUGACUGUCUUAUGGAUUGUAAACUUCUUUUAUACGGGAAUAACAAGAGCCACGUGUGGCUCCCUGCAUGUACCGUAUGAAUAAGCAUCGGCUAACUCCGUG
rnacentral:rRNA from 1 species